rnacentral:rRNA from 1 species
UACGUAGGGUGCGAGCGUUAAUCGGAAUUAUUGGGCGUAAAGAGCUCGUAGGCGGUCUGUUACGUCUGCUGUGAAAACCCUGGGCUUAACCCUGGGCUUGCAGUGGAUACGGGCAGACUAGAGGCAGGUAGGGGAGAAUGGAAUUCCCGGUGUAGCGGUGAAAUGCGCAGAUAUCGGGAGGAACACCGGUGGCGAAGGCGGUUCUCUGGGCCUGACCUGACGCUGAGGAGCGAAAGCCAGGGGAGCAAACGGG